AACGAACGCUGGCGGCAGGCUUAACACAUGCAAGUCGAACGCCCCGCAAGGGGAGUGGCAGACGGGUGAGUAACGCGUGGGAACGUGCCCUUCGCUUCGGAAUAGCCCCGGGAAACUGGGAGUAAUACCGGAUACGCCGUAUUGGGAAAGAUUUAUCGGCGAAGGAUCGGGCCUCGUUAGAUUAGCUAGUUGGCGGUGUAAUGGACCACCAAGGCUACGAUCUAUAGGUGGUAUGAGAGGAUGAUCAGCCACACUGGGACUGAGACACGGCCCAGACUCCUACGGGAGGCAGCAGUGGGGAAUCUUGGACAAUGGGCGCAAGCCUGAUCCAGCCAUGCCGCGUGAGUGAAGAAGGCCUUAGGGUUGUAAAACUCUUUCGCCGGAGAAGAUAAUGACGGUAUCCGGAGAAGAAGCCCCGGCUAACUUCGUGCCAGCAGCCGCCGUAAAAC
rnacentral:rRNA from 1 species